CAUGAACUGGAAAAAAGGUAUUGCAGUGGCACUUAGUGCCAUUGCUGUUAUGGCAAUGGUAGCCGGUUGUGGUUCCAAUACCGCAACUAAUGACCA
rnacentral:tRNA from 1 species